GGAUUAGAUACCCUGGUAGUCCACGCCGUAAACGGUGGGCGCUAGGUGUGGGUUCCUUCCACGGGAUCUGUGCCGUAGCUAACGCAUUAAGCGCCCCGCCUGGGGAGUACGGCCGCAAGGCUAAAACUCAAAGGAAUUGACGGGGGCCCGCACAAGCGGCGGAGCAUGUGGAUUAAUUCGAUGCAACGCGAAGAACCUUACCUGGGUUUGACAUACACCGGAAAACCGUAGAGAUACGGUCCCCCUUGUGGUCGGUGUACAGGUGGUGCAUGGCUGUCGUCAGCUCGUGCCG
rnacentral:rRNA from 1 species